GAUGAACGCUGGCGGCGUGCCUAACACAUGCAAGUCGAGCGAUCUUCUUCGGAAGAGAGCGGCGGGCGGGUGAGUAACGCGUGGGUAACCUGCCUCAUACACAUGGAUAACAUACCGAAAGGUAUGCUAAUACAAGAUGAUAUAAGAGAUUCGCAUGGAUUUCUUAUCAAAGCUUUUGCGGUAUGAGAUGGACCCGCGUCUGAUUAGCUAGUUGGUAAGGUAAUGGCUUACCAAGGCGACGAUCAGUAGCCGACCUGAGAGGGUGAUCGGCCACAUUGGAACUGAGACACGGUCCAAACUCCUACGGGAGGCAGCAGUGGGGAAUAUUGCACAAUGGGCGAAAGCCUAAUGCAGCAACGCCGCGUGAGCGAUGAAGGCCUUCGGGUCGUAAAGCUCUGUCCUCAAGGAAGAUAAUGACGGUACUUGAGGAGGAAGCCCCGGCUAACUACGUGCCAGCCGCCGCCGUAAUAC
rnacentral:rRNA from 1 species